CAGUCGCCGCGGUAAGACAGAGGAUGCAAGCGUUAUCCGGAUUUAUUGGGUUUAAAGGGUCCGUAGGCGGACUUAUAAGUCAGUGGUGAAAGCCUGUCGCUUAACGAUAGAACUGCCAUUGAUACUGUAAGUCUUGAGUAUAUUUGAGGUAGCUGGAAUAAGUAGUGUAGCGGUGAAAUGCAUAGAUAUUACUUAGAACACCAAUUGCGAAGGCAGGUUACCAAGAUAUAACUGACGCUGAGGGACGAAAGCGUGGGUAGCGAACAGGAUUAGAUACCCGCGUAGUCCCUGUCUCUUAUAC
rnacentral:rRNA from 1 species